rnacentral:tRNA from 1 species
GAGGGUAUAGCUCAGUGGUAGAGCGCCUGCUUAGCAUGUAUGAGGUGCUGGGUUCAAUCCUCAGCUCCUCCA